rnacentral:lncRNA from 1 species
AAAUUAAGUUUUAGAGAGACAAACGAUAUCAUAUUUUAGAGAGAGAAACUAUAUCAAAUUUUAGAAAGAGAAAUUAUCUCAAAUUUAUCAAGUUUUAGAGGGAGAAACUGUCUCAAAUUUUAGGUUUUAGAGUGAGCAAGUACUUGAAAAUUUUUAGAGAGAGAAAAUAUCUCAAAACAUGUAGAAAGAGAAACUAUAUCAAUAGAAAGUAUGUCAAAUUUUUAAGUUUUAGAGA